rnacentral:rRNA from 1 species
GAUGAACGCUGACAGAAUGCUUAACACAUGCAAGUCAACUUGAAUUUGGGUUUUUAACUUAGGUUUGGGUGGCGGACGGGUGAGUAACGCGUAAAGAACUUGCCUCACAGCUAGGGACAACAUUUGGAAACGAAUGCUAAUACCUAAUAUUAUGAUAAUAGGGCAUCCUAUAAUUAUGAAAGCUAUAAGCGCUGUGAGAGAGCUUUGCGUCCCAUUAGCUAGUUGGAGAGGUAACGGCUCACCAAGGCGAUGAUGGGUAGCCGGCCUGAGAGGGUGAUCGGCCACAAGGGGACUGGGACACGGCCCGUACUACUACGGGAGGCAGCAGUGGGGAAUAUUGGACAAUGGACCGAGAGUCUGAUCCAGCAAUUCUGUGUGCACGAUGAAGUUUUUCGGAAUGUAAAGUGCUUUCAGUUGGGAAGAAACAAAUGACGGUACCAACAGAAGAAGUGACGGCUAAAUACG